rnacentral:rRNA from 1 species
GUAGAGGUGAAAUUCGUAGAUAUUAGAAAGAAUACCAAUUGCGAAGGCAGCUUUCUGGAUCAUUACUGACACUGAGGAACGAAAGCAUGGGUAGCGAAGAGGAUUAGAUACCCUCGUAGUCCAUGCCGUAAACGAUGUGUGUUAGACGUUGGAAAUUUAUUUUCAGUGUCGCAGGGAAACCGAUAAACACACCGCCUGGGGAGUACGACCGCAAGGUUAAAACUCAAAUGAAUUGACGGGGACCCGCACAAGUAGUGGAGCAUGUGGUUUAAUUCGAAGAUACGCGCAGAACCUUACCAACACUUGACAUGUUCGUCGCGACUCUAAGAGAUUAGAGUUUUCGGUUCGGCCGGACGAAACACAGGUGCUGCAUGGCUGUCGUCAGCUCGUGUCGUGAGAUGUUGGGUUAAGUCCCGCAACGAGCGCAACCCUCACUUUUAGUUGUCAUCAUUAAGUUGGGCACUCUGAAAGAACUGCCAGUGAUAAGCUGGAGGAAGGUGGGGAUGACGUCAAGUCCUCAUGGCCCUUACGUGUUGGGCUACACACGUGCUACAAUGGUAUCUACAACAGGAAGCAAGACUGCGAAGUUAAGCAAAUCCCUAAAAGAUACCUCAGUUCGGAUUGCACUCUGCAACUCGAGUGCAUGAAGCUGGAAUUACCAGUAAUCGUGGAUCAGCGUGCCACGGUGAAUGCGUUCCCGGGUCUUGUACACACCGCCCGUCACACCAUGGGAGUUGGUUCUACCUUAAGGCAAGGUUUCAAACCCUUGACCACGGUAUAGUCAGCGACUGGGGUGAAGUCGUAACAAGGUAA